GUAGAAGACACUGUGAGCUGGGAAAUGCGGCCCACGAGGAGAUCACCAGGGGAAGGAUGACAGGCACCCGUGUCGCAUUCAUCUCGAGCUUUCGAGUAACGGAGCCACCCUGAACAGAAACAGAAUCAGCCACACGGAAGGCAGCCCAAGGGCAGCACCAGGCCUGAGAAGCAAACUGGCUAAGUGGAAUGCGGAAUUUAUUUUUAAUACCAGUUCUGUGGCUUUCUAAGCCUCACCUCAUGGAUGCUGUGAGUCCUGUAGCCUGGUGGCAAAUUCCUGAUGGAGAUCACACCACCUGAAUUCCCUGGCCUCACCUAGGCAGCCUGUAGCCAAUGAUGGAUAGAGAGUUUGAAAGGCUGCUAUGAACUCCACUGUGUGAUUCAUGCCCAGCACCUCCUCCUGGCAUCUGGCUAAGCCGACUCCAGCUGGGACCGUGGCCUGGGUCUGUCCCCUCCACCUCUUGCUCCUGAGAGCACUCUGGAUAAGUUAGUGCACAUAAAUCCCUGCCUCCUUUCUGCCUGAGUCAGCGUCCCUGGGAACUCUUCAUGUAUCAUUUUAGGACAGACAAUGACUAAUUCAUGGACAGUAGGACAAGGAAUCCAAAUCCUACCUCAUAUAUCUGUGGUUCCAAUCUGUACAAAUUACAGAGAAGAACUGAAGAAAUCUUUGGGAAAUAACUUUCCUUUAUAGUAUAUAAAUUUGGUGGAAUCGUUUAAAUACACGGAUUAUUGGGUUUGGCUACACCAUGGAACAAAUCAUGCCCCUUUAAAGACAGAGUUCUAGUUUGAAUGGCAAACAGUCCAUCUGGUCACCCAUUUCCCUGUGGACCUGCCGGGAAGGGAUGUGGUCAGUCAUGAGAGAAGAGCAUCCCAUGAGCAACAUUAUCUCAACAGCACAUCACCCUCUACUUUGCUAUUCAUGGAUAGCCUCUGAGACAAUAUCUAUAAGUCACUGCUUUAAAAAAAAUUGUAUUUGCUUAAAAGUUCCUUGUUCCGAAUACAAGACAAAGUAAUCAGACUCUACUAAUAUAAAUGCGCAUGCUCAAAUCACCAGCCAGACAAUGCCUACACCAAAGACAAGGUACAGUCAACUUGGGAAGUUGACCACAGGCAACUGGAGAUUUGGUUUCAAACAGGGCAAAGACUGGGA
rnacentral:lncRNA from 1 species